GACGUAGGGGGCUAGCGUUGUCCGGAAUCAUUGGGCGUAAAGAGCGUGUAGGCGGUCCGGUAAGUCCGCUGUGAAAGUCGGGGGCUCAACCCUCGAAUGCCGGUGGAUACUGUCGGGCUUGAGUGCGGAAGAGGCGAGUGGAAUUCCUGGUGUAGCGGUGAAAUGCGCAGAUAUCAGGAGGAACACCUAUUGUGAAGGCAGCUCGCUGGGACGUAACUGACGCUGAGACGCGAAAGCGUGGGGAGCAAACAGG
rnacentral:rRNA from 1 species